rnacentral:rRNA from 1 species
CCUGACGGUAGUCGUAUGCUCGUCUCCGAGACUAAGCCAUGCAAGUCCAAGUACACGUCCUUGAACGACGGAAACUGCGAACGGCUCAUUAAAUCAGUUGCGAUCUACUCGGCGUUCCGCGCCGCCGGAUAACCGUAGUAAUUCUAGGGCUAAUACGUGCGAAGCGCCCGAAGCCGCGAGGCGACGGGCGUUCUCGCCGGAUGUAGGAACCGACCCGGGGACCGCCGGGGCAACCCGGCGCCCCCGAGACGGGGCGAACCACGGUGAAAUGACGGAUCGUCGGCCCCGCGCCGGCGACUCGCCGAAUGAGUUUCUGACCUAUCAACUCGAGACGGCGGGGUAGAGGCCGCCGCGGUAACGACGGGUAACGGGGAAUCAGGUUCGAUUCCGGAGAGGGAGCCCGAGAAACGGCUACCACUUCCAAGGAAGGCAGCAGGCG